UGGCGGUAUUUUAGUCCUUUUAGAGGAACCUGUUCUAUAAUUGAUGAUCCACGAUUAGAAGUACUUAUUUUAAAAGUUUAUAUAUCGCUGUAGAUUAAAUAUUUUUAAAGAAAUUUAAUGUUUAAGAUUUUUAAUUUAAAAAAUAAAUCAAGUCAAGAUAUAGCUUAUAAGUAAGAAGAGAUGGGUUACAAUAAAUUUAUUUAAAUGGUUUAAUAUUUUAAAAUUAUUAAUAAAGUGGAUUUAACAGUAAAAUUAAUUAUUUUAUUAAUUUGAUUUGAGCUCUAAAAUAUGUACAUAUCGCCCGUCACUUUCAUUAUAAAGUGGAAUAAGUCGUAACAUAGUAGAUGUACUGGAAAGUGUAUCUAGAAAACAAAUUAGAGCUUGAUUAAAGCAUUUUAUUUACAUUAAAAAGAUUAUUAAUAUUAAUAUAAUUUGAAUAAAUAAAAUUAUUUAUAUUAUAAAAUUUUAUUUAAUUUAAAUUAAAUACAUUUUUGUUUUAUUAUUUUUUAAGAAAAAAUUUUAUAAUUUAAUAGUUAAAUAGUAUUGUUUAAGAAAUUUUUUAUAUAUAAAGAAGAAAAAAUUAUUUUUGUACCUUGUGUAUCAGGGUUUAUUAAUAAAAUUUUAAUAAAUUAAUUUUCUCGAAUUUAAUAGAGCUAUUUAAAUAUCUUUUUUAUUGUGUCAUAAAUAAUAUUAAUAUUUAAAUUGAAAUGAAAUGUUAUUCGUUUUUAAAUAUAUCUAGUUUUUUAAGAAAUAAAUUUAAUUUAUUUUUUAUUAAUAAAUUUUUUUUGUUUAUAAUAAUUUAUUAAUAAAAUAUAAAAUUUUUGGGGAUGAGCUUAAAAAUUUAUUAUUAAAAAUUUAAUUAAAUAUAAUUAAUAAUAAGUAAAAUUAAUAAUUUUUAUCUUUAAGAAAUUGUUAUAAUUUGUUAUUAAAAUAAUAAAAUUUAUAUUAAUUUAUUUUAAUUUUUUUAUUAAAAUAUUAAUUAUUAUUAAAUGUAUUAAGAAAUAAUGAUAAAAUUAGUAUAUUUAUUUGUUAUAAAUAUUUUAAUUUUAGGUUUUAUAAAGGAAUUCGGCAAAAUAUUUUUCACCUGUUUAAUAAAAACAUGUCUUUUUGAUAUUUAUAAAAAGUCUAGCCUGCCCAAUGAUUAAUUAUUUAAUGGCCGCAGGAUAUUUACUGUGCAAAGGUAGCAUAAUCAUUAGUUUUUUAAUUGAAAGCUGGAAUGAAGGGUUGGAUGAGAAAAUAACUGUCUCUAUAAAAUUUUAUUAGAAUUUUAUUUUUAAGUUAAAAAGCUUAAAUAUUUUUAGAAGACGAGAAGACCCUAUAGAAUUUUAUAAAAUUUUACUUUUUUAAGUAUUAGUAAUUUU
rnacentral:rRNA from 1 species